rnacentral:tmRNA from 1 species
GUUAUUGGAUUUUCAUCCCUUCGCCCCUAUAUUGGGAAGGUCCGGGUUCGCCCGGACUAUGGCGAUAAAGGCGCUUGUAAUAAGCGGACCGGACCCGGGUGCGAUUCCCGGCGGCUCCACCAUUUCCCCCGCGUUAUCGGCGGAGAUCAUGGGGCCGACUAGCAUCGACGGACGUGUAAAGAAGAUUGCUUUCGCUCGUACUGGCCCAUCGUCAUCGGGCCGUUUUCUAACUGCGAACGAUAACUUCGCUGGGGAAUACGCUGUCGCCGCGUAAUGCGGUUCCGGUAAUUCCAAUCUAAACUCCUGGAGGUUCAGAUCUUCAGGCGGGGCCUGUCGGGAGCCUGGCAACAGAAUCCCGGCGCU